AGGACGAACGCUGGCGGCGUGCUUAACACAUGCAAGUCGAGGGCACUUUGGGGGCAACUCUGGAGUGACCGGCGAACGGGUGCGUAACACGUGAGCGACCUUGCCUCGUGGUGGGGGAUAGCCGGCCCAACGGCCGGGUAAUACCGCAUAGGGUGGUCUUUUCGCAUGGAGAGACUAGCAAAGCCCUGGAGCAAUCCAGUGGCGCCACGAGGGGGGGCUCGCGGCCUAUCAGCUAGGUUGGGGGGUAAUGGCCCACCGAAGGCGACGACGGGUAGC
rnacentral:rRNA from 1 species